rnacentral:rRNA from 1 species
GGACUACUCGGGUAUCUAAUCCCGUUUGCUCCCCACGCUUUCGUGUCUCAGCGUCAGUGAUGGCCCAGCAAGCCGCCUUCGCCACCGGUGUUCUUCCUGAUAUCUACACAUUCCACCGCUACACCAGGAAUUCCGCUUGCCUCUACCAUACUCAAGCUGAACAGUUUCCAGCGACCCCUUCCCGUUAAGCGGUGAAGAUUUCACGCCAGACUUAUCCAGCCGCCUACACACCCUUUACGCCCAGUAAAUCCGAACAACGCUUGCCCCCUCCGUAUUACCGCGGCGGCUGGCAC